rnacentral:rRNA from 1 species
UACAGAGGGUGCGAGCGUUAAUCGGAAUUACUGGGCGUAAAGCGUGCGUAGACGGUUGCGUAAGUCAGAUGUGAAAGCCCCGGGCUCAACCUGGGAAUUGCAUUUGAGACUGCUCUGCUCGGGUGCGGAAGAGGGAAGCGGAAUUUCCGGUGUAGCGGUGAAAUGCGUAGAUAUCGGAAGGAACACCAGUGGCGAAAGCGGCUUCCUGGUCCGACACCGACGGUCAGGCACGAAAGCGUGGGGAGCAAACAGG